UACAGAGGGUGCGAGCGUUAAUCGGAAUUACUGGGCGUAAAGCGUGCGUAGACGGUUAUUUAAGUCGGGUGUGAAAGCCCCGGGCUCAACCUGGGAAUUGCAUUCGAGACUGAAUAGCUAGGGUACGGUAGAGGGAAGUGGAAUUUCCGGUGUAGCGGUGAAAUGCGCAGAUAUCAGGAGGAACACCAAUUGCGAAGGCAGCUCGCUGGGACGUUACUGACGCUGAGACGCGAAAGCGUGGGGAGCAAACAGG
rnacentral:rRNA from 1 species